rnacentral:rRNA from 1 species
UACGUAGGGUGCAAGCGUUGUCCGGAAUUAUUGGGCGUAAAGAGCUCGUAGGCGGUCUGUUGCGUCGGCUGUGAAAACCCGGGGCUCAACCCUGGGCCUGCAGCCGAUACGGGCAGACUAGAGUUCGGCAGGGGAGACUGGAAUUCCUGGUGUAGCGGUGAAAUGCGCAGAUAUCAGGAGGAACACCGGUGGCGAAGGCGACCACCUGGGCUGAUACUGACGCUGAGGUGCGAAAGCGUGGGGAGCAAACAGG